AGAUCGCUACUCAACUAUUACUAUCAAGAACAAGAACAAAGACGAUCGGCUACCUUAAUGAACCUACCAUUAGCUCAAUUUAUGAAAACUUACGAAAGAUAUGAAGCGGCGAUAGAGAAAAGUAGAGCUGAGGGCAGGAAACCUCAUCCUGGCCCAAUCGAUACUCCACUAAUGGUGA
rnacentral:lncRNA from 1 species